UCCAGCUGUGUCAGAGGACAAGAUCACCAUUCUCAAACAGUCUUCACUGUUCUAAAGGAGAGCAGUUUGUGAGAGUGCUGCCUAAUAGGCUUCUGACAGAGCCAGCUAGGUAAAUCUAAGUCUGAGGUAAGAAUCUGUUCCAGUGGAGCUCGUCUAGCAGAAUGAGCUACCAAAUUCGUUGGUUCAGUUUCCAGGCAAGAAUGUGGCCAUCUGAGAAGUUUCAGUAUUGUAUAGGAUCAGCUAUAGUCUCAUCAACAGUUGUGUAAAUCUGGAGGAUCAAAGUUAAGAAGCUCACUUCACUGUACUGUGGGACCAGCAAAUCUGGUGUAUGUGCAACUAGUGUGGAAGCCUGACACUGUCAAAAUUUGUUAUCAUGGGCUCUCUGCCAUCACCCCAGCUGGCAAAAAUGGGACACGGUUCCAGUGCAU